UACGAAGGGGGGCUAGCGUUGUUCGGAAUUACUGGGCGUAAAGCGCGCGCAGGCGGUCUUCCAAGUCAGUGGUGAAAGCCCGGAGCUCAACUCCGGAACUGCCAUUGAAACUGUAAGACUUGAGGACGAGAGAGGUGAGUGGAAUUCCCAGUGUAGAGGUGAAAUUCGUAGAUAUUGGGAAGAACACCAGUGGCGAAGGCGGCUCACUGGCUCGUAUCUGACGCUCAGGCGCGACAGCGUGGGGGAGCAAACAGG
rnacentral:rRNA from 1 species